rnacentral:rRNA from 1 species
UACGUAGGGCGCAAGCGUUGUCCGGAAUUAUUGGGCGUAAAGAGCUCGUAGGCGGCCUGUUGCGUCCGCUGUGAAAACCCGGGGCUUAACCCCGGGCGUCCAGUGGAUACGGGCUGGCUAGAGGCAGGCAGGGGAGAACGGAAUUCCCGGUGUAGCGGUGAAAUGCGCAGAUAUCGGGAGGAACAUCGAUGGCGAAGGCAGGUCUCUGGGCAUUAACUGACGCUGAGGAGCGAAAGCAUGGGGAGCGAACAGG